CGCCCUCGUUCACGGUGUCCGCCACGAACCAAGUGCGGCUUGAGUUCCACUCCGACAAGGCUCUAACCUUUAAUGGAUUUUCGAUCUGUUUCACGGUGCUGUAAGAUCUUGGAUUGACAAUCACUGCAAUGCUCUCGGCUUUCCUGCCUGCAGAUGGUCAUCGAUUGAGCAACACCUCAAGAAGACCUACUUAUCACCAGUUCUUCACGGAAAGUUUUCGAAAUCGAGGAAAUUAGUAUCUAGAUUCAAUAAAUUCAGUAUAUCAACAUGUCAAGAAUCAGUAAUAUACAAAUACACCUGAUCUCAUCAGACCAACGAGAAAUAAUUCUAACUUCGACCUUACUUUGCACCUUUACUGAUGCCUAAUUCAAAUUACUUCUCGCUAUAUACUUACCUUGAUAUUAAAGUACCAUUAUCCAUUUUCUUUGAAUGUCAUAUAAUCAUUCGUUGUGGCCAUCUCAGGGCAUAGUAUGCUUAACCAUUAAUGAACCUCCACCUUAUUUAUAACCUUACAUGAACCUUCUCGGUGGGUGGAUCGCGUAUUCUAUGAUGGCAUUAUUGUAUGGUUCAGAAAUUAUGCAAUAUGAUUUUGAUGUAUCCUUACUAUAUAUGGAAUGAAAUAAAGUUUCUAUCGGCAUA
rnacentral:lncRNA from 1 species